UGGCGUUUAGCAUAGUGGGAGUGCAGGGGUGUCACAUACCUCGAUCGAACUGGUUCGAUUCCAGUAACGCCAA
rnacentral:tRNA from 1 species